GAUCCUGGCUCGGAGGAUGAACGCUAGCUACAGGCUUAACACAUGCAAGUCGAGGGGCAGCAUGAACUUAGCUUGCUAAGUUUGAUGGCGACCGGCGCACGGGUGAGUAACACGUAUCCAACCUGCCGAUGACUCGGGGGAUAGCCUUUCGAAAGAAAGAUUAAUACCCGAUGGCAUAGUUCUUCCGCAUGGUAGAACUAUUAAAGAAUUUCGGUCAUCGAUGGGGAUGCGUUCCAUUAGGUUG
rnacentral:rRNA from 1 species